GGUCAGCUGACACAUCCCUGCCAAUCUCCAGCAGACCCUCCCUCCCAGACCCUCCCACCUCCUGGACAGCAUCCAUGUUGAAGCUGCCUUCAACAUGGAUGCUGUCCAGGAAGUAGGAGGGCCUGGGAGGGAGGGUCUGCCGGAGAUUGGCAGGGAUGUGUCAGCUG